UACAGAGGUCUCAAGCGUUGUUCGGAUUCAUUGGGCGUAAAGGGCGCGUAGGCGGCGGGGUAAGUCGGGUGUGAAAUCUCAGGGCUCAACCCUGAAACUGCACUCGAUACUGCUCUGCUUGAGGACUGGAGAGGAGACUGGAAUUCACGGUGUAGCAGUGAAAUGCGUAGAUAUCGUGAGGAAGACCAGUGGCGAAGGCGGGUCUCUGGACAGUUCCUGACGCUGAGGCACGAAGGCCAGGGGAGCAAACGGG
rnacentral:rRNA from 1 species